rnacentral:rRNA from 1 species
UAACAAGGAUUCCCUUAGUAACGGCGAGUGAAGCGGGAACAGCUCAAAUUUGAAAUCUGCGGUGCUUGCAUCGUCAGAAUUGUAGUUAAGAGAAGUGCUUUCCCUGGGAUGUCUGCCGGCCUAAGUUGCUUGGAACAGCACGUCAUAGAGGGUGAGAACCCCGUCUGUGGCUCGGUGGACACCUGGUAUGAUGCACUUUCGACGAGUCGGGUUGUUUGGGAAUGCAGCCCAAACUGGGUGGUAAACUCCAUCUAAAGCUAAAUAUUGCCACGAGACCGAUAGCGAACAAGUACCGUGAGGGAAAGAUGAAAAGCACUUUGAAAAGAGAGUUAAAAGCACGUGAAACCGUUGAAAGGGAAACGCGCUCGGCUAGCAAUGCGCCAUUACGGUUCAGCCAGUUUGCGGGCGGAGUGGGCGGUCGUCGGAUCUGAACUGACCGCGGUUGUUCACGUCCGUUCGCGAAAUGCGGUGCACUCUGUGAUGGCGCGCGUCAGCGUCGGUUCGGAGCGGGCGACAAGGCCGGCAGGAAGGUAGCUCGCAGCUUGCUGUGAGUAUUAUAGCCUGUCGAGCUGGGUCCGCUGCUCGGACCGAGGAGAGAGAGGAUCGCUGCAGCGCAUGCCGCAAGGCUAGCUGCCCUUCGUCCGGCUUGCUUCACGGGUUGAGGACUGCACGCAGUGUUCGAACCGGCGAGGUGGUCUGGCGGGGGUGCGGUAUAAAUGCGCUUAGGACGCUGGCGUCCAAAUGGCCGUGCGCGACCCGUCUUGAAACACGGACCAAGGAGUCUAACAUGUGCGCGAGUCUUUGGGUGUUGAAACCCUCGGGCGCAAUGAAAGUGAAGGCCCGCGUUGGCGGGCUGAGGUGAGAGCCGGUGCUGCGGUGUCGGUGCAUCAUCGACCGGUCCAUUCUUCUCUAAGAAGGAUCCGAGUAAGAGCGUAUUUGUUGGGACCCGAAAGAUGGUGAACUAUGCCUGAAUAGGGUGAAGCCAGAGGAAACUCUGGUGGAGGCUCGUAGCGAUUCUGACGUGCAAAUCGAUCGUCAAAUUUGGGUAUAGGGGCGAAAGACUAAUCGA